rnacentral:misc_RNA from 1 species
UUUCCGUAGGUGAACCUGCGGAAGGAUCAUUCAUAAUAAAGUGUUUUAUGGCACUUUUUAGAAAUCCAUAUCCACCUCGUGUGCAAUGUUAGAUCUCGUCAAUCUUGGCGAGAUUUUUAUACACCAACUCAUUCUUUAACUAAUUUGUCUGAAAAAUAUUAUGAAUACUUAAUUCAAAAUACAACUUUCAACAACGGAUCUCUUGGCUCUC